UUUUGAUCCUUCGAUGUCGGCUCUUCCUAUCAUUGAGACGCAGAAGUCUCAAAGUGUCGGAUUGUUCACCCGCCAAUAGGGAACGUGAGCUGGGUUUAGACCGUCGUGAGACAGGUUAGUUUUACCCUACACUAAUGAGUAGAUUUUAAAUCUCUUUACGAGUAUCAAUUGGAGGGCAAGUCUGGUGCCAGCAGCCGCGGUAAUUCCAGCUCCAAUAGCGUAUAUUAAAGUUGUUGCGGUUAAAAAGCUCGUAGUUGGAUUUCUGCCUUGGGCGACCGAUCCACCUUUCCUACGGGAUUGGUUGGUAUCAGGUUUGACCUUGGCUUUUUCUUGGGAUUCGUGCUCACGUACUUAACUGUGCGUUGACCGUGUUCCAAGACUUUUACUUUGAGGAAAUUAGAGUGUUUCAAGCAGGCUUAUGCCAUGAAUACAUUAGG
rnacentral:ncRNA from 1 species